rnacentral:rRNA from 1 species
UACGAAGGGGGCUAGCGUUGUUCGGAUUUACUGGGCGUAAAGCGCACGCAGGCGGAUUUUUAAGUCGGGGGUGAAAUCCUGGAGCUCAACUCCAGAACUGCCUUCGAUACUGGAAAUCUUGAGUCCGGAAGAGGUGAGUGGAACUCCUAGUGUAGAGGUGGAAUUCGUAGAUAUUAGGAAGAACACCAGUGGCGAAGGCGGCUCACUGGUCCGGUACUGACGCUGAGGUGCGAAAGCGUGGGGAGCAAACAGG